rnacentral:rRNA from 1 species
CACGUAGGGGGCGAGCGUUGUCCGGAAUCAUUGGGCGUAAAGAGCUCGUAGGCGGCUCAGUAAGUCGGGUGUGAAACCCCCAGGCUCAACCUGGGGACGCCACUCGAUACUGCUGUGGCUAGAGUCCAGUAGAGGAGUGUGGAAUUCCCGGUGUAGCGGUGAAAUGCGCAGAUAUCGGGAGGAACACCAGUGGCGAAGGCGGCGACCUGGACAGAUAUUGACGCUGAGGUGCGAAAGCGUGGGGAGCAAACAGG